ACUCCUACGGGAGGCAGCAGUGGGGAAUAUUGGACAAUGGGCGCAAGCCUGAUCCAGCCAUGCCGCGUGAGUGAUGAAGGCCCUAGGGUUGUAAAGCUCUUUCACCGGUGAAGAUAAUGACGGUAACCGGAGAAGAAGCCCCGGCUAACUUCGUGCCAGCAGCCGCGGUAAUACGAAGGGGGCUAGCGUUGUUCGGAUUUACUGGGCGUAAAGCGCACGUAGGCGGACUAUUAAGUCAGGGGUGAAAUCCCGGGGCUCAACCCCGGAACUGCCUUUGAUACUGGUAGUCUUGAGUUCGAGAGAGGUGAGUGGAAUUCCGAGUGUAGAGGUGAAAUUCGUAGAUAUUCGGAGGAACACCAGUGGCGAAGGCGGCUCACUGGCUCGAUACUGACGCUGAGGUGCGAAAGCGUGGGGAGCAAACAGGAUUAGAUACCCUUGUAGUCCCAUGA
rnacentral:rRNA from 1 species